rnacentral:lncRNA from 10 species
AAUUAAUCGAGAGCUAAUUAAAAUUUAAAUAUAUAUGUUGGGAAAUAUUUCCCCAUGGGCACAAAACUAAGUAAUCGAGCUGUCCAGUAUCUUGGUAGGUAGUGUGACAAUAUCAGAAUUUAUGGUCAAUGGAUUAUAAAAUGUUUUGUCAGCAUGGGAUCCUGAAAAAAAUCUGCCUCCUACAAAAGAUUCUUAGAAUACCUCGAACCACAGAAUGCCCUUCCUUUCCUUCUUAAAAAGAUGUCACUAAAUCUAUAUCCAUUAUAACACUGGACACAUUCUGUUCUUUAAAAACAAAAAUAAUGUUAAUUUUUCACAUAUUUAGUGUUCAUUUAGUAUACACAUUUUAUAUAUUUAAUGUAAUUCAUAUAUACUACUUUGGUAUAACAUAUUAUAGCAAUAGUUGCUACUAUCUAAAAAGGUGAAUGCUUCCCAAAUACGGGUAUGAGUGUGUUUACAUCUGGAUGUGUCUUUGUGAAUGACGUAUAUAUAAGUGCAGUGGAGAGUUGGAGAGCUUUAUGGAGUUUCUAAUACCCAAUAGAAAAUAAAACAAUUCAAAAUUAUUCAAAAAUUCUGUUCUGUAAGGAUUUAUUUGUCAUCUGUUUUCUGCUUCUGUUUGUGGUAUUCUAUGCUCUAAAAGGGUGAAAUAAAUAUUUAUUUUCUUAUUGGAGAGAUUCCAGAUGUGCAAAAACUGUCAGACACCAUCCCUCCCACAUCUUGAUACACAUAUGAACGUAUUUGCAAUAAAAAAGUGACAGUAUUCUAGAAACAUAGCUAAAACCACUAUUUCUCUGUUUGACUAUUCUAUAUUAUCCUGAUAAACUCUAGCAAUGGACACAUUACAGAAUUGAAAAUUUGCAUUGAAAGUUUUAAAAAUGCUAGUUUUUAAAAUUUUACUGCAUAUAUACAAGUAGUUGAUAACUCAAACAGCUUUAUUUUGAAGUUCAUCUCCUUCAUGCAAUAAAUUAUUCCUCAAAUAGCUAGAAUAAUGGCAUUCUGUCUUUCAGCUGAAACUAUUUGAUUCAAAUAAUGAUGGGAAGCUGGAAUUAACUGAGAUGGCCAGGUGAGUUUAGGAACCAUGAAAAAUAUUGUAAGUGGAUCCUUUUCAAAAAAUGUAAUAUAUUAAUAUAAUGUUUUUCUCUCAAAAGGUUACUACCAGUGCAGGAGAAUUUUCUUCUUAAAUUCCAGGGAAUCAAAAUGUGUGGGAAAGAGUUCAAUAAGGCUUUUGAGCUGUAUGAUCAGGUAAAAGUUUGUUACUUUUUCCUUUCUUUUUUAUUGAAGUAAGAACACAACAUAAGAUCCUCUUAACAAAAUUUAAGUAUAAAAUACAGUACUGCAAACUAUAGAGACAAUCUUGACAGCAGAUCUUUAGAAUUUAUCCAUCUUAUAUAAUUGAGACUUUAUGCCCAUUGAUGAGUAACUCGUCAUUUCUCCUUCCCCCAGCCCUGGCAAUAACAUUCUACUUUAUGAGUGUGACUAUUUUAGAUACCUCAUACAAGUGGCAUCAUGCAGAAUUUGUCUUGUGCUGAGAUUGAUUGAUCAUAUGCAGUUCUAUUUUUAAUUUUUUGAGGGCUCUCCAUACUGUUUUUCAUAGUGGAUGCACCAUUUUUGCAUUCCCACCAAUGUAUACAAGAGUUCCAAUUUUCUUCAUUCUCACUAACACUUGUCUUUUAUCUUUUUGAUAAUAGCCAUUCUAAUAGGUGUGAGGAGAUAUCUUAUUGUUAAUUUUUAUUUCUCUGAUUAGUGAUGUUAAGCAUUUUUUCAUUACCUGUUGGCCAUUUAUAUACCUUCUUUGGAUAAGUGUCUACUCAAGUCAUUAACCCAUUUUUUAAAUUGAAUUAUUCAUUUUUUGCUAUUGAGUUACAGGAGUUCUUUAUAAAUUUUGGAAAUUAACCCUUUUUGGGAUGUGGUUUACAAAUAUUUUCUCCCAUUCUGUAGGCUGCUUUUGCACUCUGUUGAUUGUUUCCUUUGCUGUGCAGCUUUUUAGUUUGAUGUAGUCUCGCUUGUCUAUUUUUGCUUGUGUUGUCCUUGCUUAUGGUUUCAUAUCCACAAUAUCAUUGCUAAGAACAAUGUCAUAAAGGUUUCCCUUAUGUUUGUUUGCUUCUAGGAGUUUUACAGUUUUAGAUCUUAUAUUUAAGUUUUUAAUCUAUCUUGAAUUUAUUUUUUAUAUGGUGUAAGCUAAGGGUCCAAUUUCAUUAUUUUGCAUGUGUCUGUAUAGUUUACCUAACACCAUUUGUUGAAAAAAGCUAUCCUUGUCCCAUUUUGUGUUUUUGGCACCCUUAUCAAAGAUCAGUUGACUAUAACAUGUGAAACUGAGAGCUCAUUAGUCUAUGUUUCGAUUUUUGUUUCAGAGCUAUACUGUUUUAAUCAUUGUAGCUUUGUAAUAUAUUUUGAAAUCAAGAAGUGUGAUGUCUCCAGGUUUAUUCUUUUUUCUCAAGAUGGUUUUUGGCUAUUUGGGAUCUUUUGUGGUUACAUAUGAAUUUUAGGGUUUUUUUAUUUCUAUAAAUAUUGCCAUUGGGAUUUUGGAAGUGAUUACACUGAAUCUGUAGAUGUGUUUGAGUAAUAUAGACAUUUUAACAAUAUUAAGCCUUCCAAUUCAUAAACACAGGACGUCUUUCCAUUUGUUUGUGUCUCUGUUAACUUCUUUCAUCAGUAUUUUAUGAUUUUUAGUGUAUAAGUUUUUCCUCUCAGUUAACUUUAUUCCUAAGUAUUUUAUUCUUUUGGUGCUCUUGUAAAUGGGAUUUUCUAAUUUCCAUUUCAGAUAGUUUAUCAUCAUAACUAAUUUCUGAUUGUUAAUUUUGCAUCCUACAACUUUAUGGAAUUUGUUUAUUAAUUCCAACAGUUUUUGUGAGGUCUUUAGGGUUUUCUCUCUAUAAAAAUAAUAUCUGCAAACAGGGAUAAUUUAACUUCUCUCUUUCCAAUUUGGAUGCCUUAAAAUUUUGUUCUUAUCUAUAAUUUGAUUCUUCAGAAUUUGGAAAAAACGAUUAUGAAAAUUACACAAAUAACUCCUUCUUUUCAUAGGAAAGGUAAUACGGUAUGCCCAAAUUACACAAACUCCUGAUUCGAAUCCCACACUAUCAUUUACCUGCUUUGAGACUUUGAACAAGAUACCAAACUCAUGUGAGCCUCAAUUUCUUCAUUUGUAAACAAGAGAUAAUAAUAACACCACUUUGCAGGAUUGAAUGAGGAUUAAGCUAGGUGAAAAUAUCCAGCAAAAUAAAGGUUAUUUGUGAUGUCACUAGGUCACAUCCUUUGCUUCUAAUUUGUUUACUCCUGGACCUGUGAGCUCUAGCAGAACUCUGCCACACCCUGGUGUGACAUAGAGCCACAUACCUUCCUCAGCCCUCAGUUUCCUCACUUGUCCUAGAAGAUAUUAUUAACAUUAAGUGAAUUACAUGUGUAAGUACUUUGAAAAGUUCAAGAUCUUUUACAAAUGUAAGGUGUUGAAUGAGAAGUAACUAAUACCUUGCAUAUUUUACAGCUUUGGAGCAGCUAAAAACUUGGGUGGCCUGACAUAACAGAUUAUCUGCCAAGUAUGCAGUUGGGAGACUUUCUAAGGAUUCCAAUUAUUUCCAUUUUACUUCAUUUCCCACUACUGUAGAUGGAGUUGGUUGUAUACUAUUUUAUUUCUCCUCCCCCAGGACGGCAAUGGAUACAUAGAUGAAAAUGAACUGGAUGCUUUACUGAAGGAUCUGUGCGAGAAGAAUAAACAGGAUCUGGAUAUUAAUAAUAUUACAACAUACAAGAAGAACAUAAUGGCUUUGUCGGAUGGAGGGAAGCUGUACCGAACGGAUCUUGCUCUUAUUCUCUGUGCUGGGGAUAACUAGAGUUGGUGGCCGCAACCACUUGCUAGUGAUACACUGUAUCUAAAAAAUAACUGUGCACUAUAAGGGAGUAGGCUGUAUUUUCUUUUAUAUCUGUAAAUUUAACUGCAUAUAGAUAAUUAUCCAGGAUGUGUGGCUCAUUCUUUUCAGCUUGUUUCUAUACUGUUUGUAAUAUACAGUUUUUGUAACCAUAUGAUUGAAAAGAAGAAAGUCUAUGCUUAGGCCAGUCAGUACACCCAAUUUUAAAAAAUAACAUAUUCUUGCUUUCACAAAUAUAGUUGAACAAGAUUUCCCUAAAAAUUCCACCAGGAUUAAUCUCUAAAAUUCUAGUCUCUGAUUUGCAAAUGCACAUUUGUCACUGAAUAAUGGAAUUAUGUAUAACAAGCCAAACAUUCUUAUUUUAGACAACCAUAGAACUGUCCCACAAAAUAUUUCUAAGCUUAUUUCUAACUAUUAGGAGGAAUGUGCUUUUCCAUCUAAAAUACUCACCAAAAUAUAGUUAAUUGUGGCUUUAUGAAGUUAACAGUCUCAUUACAGAUUUAGUUUACCAAUCAACAGCAUGUCUACUGCUUGGAUCCAUACAAAACUAUCGGUUCAAGUUGAUGUGACAAGGGAAGGGAGCACCAGAUGACACAUAAAUCUGUCUGAUUCUAUGCCUGUAUUUCCAACAAACUUACUGUCAGAGAAUAUGACCUAAAUCCAUUUUCUAAACUGUUUUCAUGUGUUGCAAAUUAUUCUAGUCAACUGCUGUUUUAUGUCAUACUCUGUGUAAUCUCUGAUUAAAUUUAAUAUACUGCAUAUCCUGGUGUCUAGUUUGCAUACUUCCUGGAUUUUCUUUCUAUGUAGAACUGUUCAUUUCCACCAAGGGUAUCUGCUGCCUCUGAAAAUAUUUUUUUCUAGCUAUAACAACUCUAUUUUUUACUACAUAAUUAAAUUUUAAUGUAAAAUUCAUAGCAUCCUGAUUAUUGAAUGUUAUAUCAUCAAUACUUUUGUGUAUUCUGUGGAUUCUAUAUUUCAUAUUGAGAUCAGCAUUCAAAAUAGUUCUAUUUCUAUCUGCAAAUAGUUUCAAAUGAGUUUAAAAAAAUAACAUCUGAAAAGAAAUGCUAAUGUAAUCAUUUAUCUUAUCUAGCAAGAAGAUUCUAAAACAUUCUUUAACAUACAUCUAAGUCAGUUUCACAUAUUUGUAGCUAGAAUAUCCUAUACUGGUUAUAGUUGAUAUGUAACAGUUGGUGAUUUUAGAUUUCUUUGAUUGUGAAACAGGGAGCUAUGAGAGAUGUGUCCAUGUGAAAUUUACAGUUACUGCCUAGGAGUUAAUGAUCGUUCUGGGUCAGCUUGAAUGUCCCCAUUCUAUAAAUUCAACACUUAUUUUCUGAAUUCAUAAAAAUAACCAAAAAAUGUGAGCUAUAAUGUUUCCCUCAAGAACAAACAGAAACGAGAUUUGCCAAAAACUAAAAUUCAACAAAUGAUGUUGAGUGGGAGAUUGGCUUUGCCUUUAGCGUGUAAAUGGAAGCACUGCCAUUAGACUGAAUUUAACUACUAAGAAUAAAUAAAGAAGAAAAUAACCUUAA